GGCCACUCUCCUCAGGCGUCUUGCCAUUGGGGCCGGUGGCAAGUCAGAACGUCUGCCAUGGAGCAGCGAGCCUCAGAGUGUGACGAUUGCAGUGAGUGUGUGACAUUGAGGCAUCCUAAUUUACAUUGAAAAUAUAUGGCCAGUGAAGAAACAGCCUGGAGAGAUCUACACUCACAUGGAUCUUGAUACCCCAGACAUCACAAACUCCUUGAGGUUACAGCUUGUGUUGCACUCAUCUUUAUAUUCUGAAUCUAACAUUGUGACUGGCACAGAGCAGACACCUGACAGUACAAGGAGUGUGAUGCUACCAUCUGCUUCUGUGGAGGCCUCAGGAGGCUUACAGUCAUGGUGGAAGGUGAAGGAGGAGCAGUCAUUUCACAUGGCAACAGCAGAAGCAAGAGGAAGAUAUGGACGGAGCCACUUUUAAACAACCGGAUCUCUCGAGAACCCGUUCAUGAUCUGGAGGACAGCACCAAGCCAUGAGGGAUCCACCCCUCUGGCCCACACACCUCCCCCAGGCCACACCCCAGCAUUGAGGAUGACAUUUCCACAUGAGAUUUGGAGGGGUCAGGCAUCCAAACCCCAUGUCAAUGACCUUUCUCUCCCAGUGAUGUCAGAGGACACUUAUCAUUUGUGCCACGCUAACCUGUGGGUACAGCCUGAUUCUUAUUUUCCCUUUGUUUAUUUACUCAUUUUUUUUGUUUGUGAAUUUUGUCUCUCCACUGGGCCAUUAAUUAAUUCAUUAUAUUAGUUAGAAUUCUCCAGAGAAACAGAACCAACAAGAGAUAGAUAGAUGAUAGAUAGAUAUAUAGAUAGAUAGAUAGAUAGAUAGAUAGAUAGAUAGACAGAUAGAUUGAUUGAUAGAUAGAUAGGAGGGGUUCAAUAUUAUGAGAAAUGGUUUGCCUGAUUCUAGAGGCUGAGAUAUUGUGCUGCCUGAAAACCGGAGAACCAGGGAAGGUGUGGUACAAAUCAGUCCAGGGCUGACAGCCCAAGAAGCUCAGUCUGUGACAGUGGGUGUCCCAGCUCCAGAGAAAGAGUGUGUUCGCCCUUGCUCUGCCGUUUUGUUCUCUUAGAGCCCUCCGUGUACUGGGGGGUGCUUGCCCACAUUGGUGAGGGUGAUCUCCUUUACUGAGUCCACUGAUUCACAUGCUACCCCUUCUGGAAACAGCCUCACACACACACCCAGAAAGAAUGUUUUACCAGCUAUAUGGGCAUCUCUUAACCCAGUCAAGGUGAUGCAUAAAAUUAAUGCUCACACUCACCUAGAUCUUACAGCUCACAUUUUCCUAGCAGAGAAGAAUGGAUUGCUAUAGCAAUGAGGGUUCUUAGAGACUCAGGAUGUUCGCCCUGCAGAAAUUACCUCUAAAUUAAUCCCAGCUGGAAGUCAGAGAGCCUCUAUAAAACAUAGCCUGUGUUCAGCCACAUUGAUUUUUAUUAUGGGAAAUAUAUGAAAAUUCAGCAAAGGUGACGGAGUGCCUUCUGAAGAGAACCCAGUGGAGAUUCUUACCACCAUUAAAAACAAGCUCAUCAUCAGUUCAUCUUAUUGGUGUGAGAUUUGCUUCACAAUCUUCAAAUAAUGUUACAGAAGAUUUCAUCUGAAACUACACAUUUUGGGGAUUUUUAUUUAGGCUUUCAUUUAAAACACCGAACACUGAAUAAAAGAAUCUAAGCCUAUUAUCUAUAUAUCUAUGGCAAAGUUUCUUCACUUUAUUGUCAAAAGUUUACAUAAAGUUGAAACCAGAAAAAAACAUUUUUUUCUUAACUAUCUAAUAUUGGUGAGAAAUUGAGAGAUACUUUUUUUUUUUUUUUUGGAUGGAGUUUUUGCUGUUGUUGCCCAGGCUGGAGUGCAAUGGCACAAUCUCGGCUCACUGCAACCUCCACCUCCUGGGUUCAAGCCAUUCUCCUGCCUCAGCCUCCUGAGUAGCUGGGAUUACAGGCAUGCACCACCAUGCCCGGCUAAUUUUGUAUUUUUAGUAGAGAUGGGGUUUCCCCAUGUUGGUCAGGCUGGUCUCGAACUCCUGACCUCAGGUGAUUCGCUCGCCUCGGCGUCCCAAAGUGCUGAGAUUACAGGCAUGAGCCACCGCGCCUGGCCGAGAGAUAUCUUUUUACCUUGAGGUAUAUUUAGAGUUGACCUCAACAUACCACUGUACUCAGUUGAACAGAUAUAAUUAGAUUUAUAAUUAUCUUUUAAAAAGUUGUUCUAAUACUAACAGUUUAAAUAAUGUGAGUAUCCAAUUACUUGGUUUUAUUAUCCUACAUAUUUAACACUUACAUCCA
rnacentral:lncRNA from 10 species